GAUGAACGCUGGCGGCGUGCUUAACACAUGCAAGUCGAACGGAAAGGCCGAAGCUUGCUUCGGUACUCGAGUGGCGAACGGGUGAGUAACACGUGGGUGAUCUGCCCUGUACUUCGGGAUAAGCUUGGGAAACUGGGUCUAAUACCGGAUAUGACAAUCUCUUGGAUGGGGUUGUGGAAAGCUUUUGCGGUAUGGGAUGAGCUCGCGGCCUAUCAGCUUGUUGGUGGGGUAAUGGCCUACCAAGGCGUCGACGGGUAGCCGGCCUGAGAGGGUGUACGGCCACAUUGGGACUGAGAUACGGCCCAGACUCCUACGGGAGGCAGCAGUGGGGAAUAUUGCACAAUGGGCGCAAGCCUGAUGCAGCGGCGCCGCGUGGGGGAUGACGGCCUUCGGGUUGUAAACUCCUUUCGCAACCGACGAAGCUUUUGUGACGGUAGGUUGAGAAGAAGCACCGGCUAACUACGUG
rnacentral:rRNA from 1 species